rnacentral:pre_miRNA from 1 species
ACAAUAUACGGAGCGUCGGUCUACCGAGCAAUAUCACCUGCUCGGUAGAAGAUCUUUGCCUACGUCAC